AUAACGAUCCGGAAACGGGUGCUAAUACCGCAUAGUUUUCUUGGUCGCAUGAUCGGGAAAGGAAAGACGGCCUUUGUGCUGUCGCUUAUGGAUGGACCCGCGGCGUAUUAGUUAGUUGGUGAGGUAACGGCUCACCAAGACGAUGAUACGUAGCCGACCUGAGAGGGUGAUCGGCCACAUUGGGACUGAGACACGGCCCAAACUCCUACGGGAGGCAGCAGUAGGGAAUCUUCCGCAAUGGACGAAAGUCUGACGGAGCAACGCCGCGUGAGUGAAAAGUAAGGUUUUCGGAUCGUAAAACUCUGUUGUCAGAGAAGAACAAGUUGGAGAGUAACUGCUCCAGCCUUGACGGUAUCUGACCAAGAAAGCCACGGCUAACUACGUGCCAGCCGCCGC
rnacentral:rRNA from 1 species